GACGAACGCUGGCGGCGUGCUUAACACAUGCAAGUCGAACGGAAAGGCCCUGCUUUUGUGGGGUGCUCGAUUGGCGAACGGGUGAGUAACACGUGAGUAACCUGCCCUUGACUUUGUGAUAACUUCAGGAAACUGGGGCUCAUACCGGAUAUAAGCUCCUGCUGCAUGUUGGUGGUUGGAAAGUUUCGGCGGUGGGGGAUGGACUGGCGGCUUAUCCGCUUGUUGGGCGGGUAGUUGCUUACCAAGGCUUUGACGGGUAGCCGGCAUGAGAGGGUGAACGGCGACAUUGGGACUGAGGUACGGCGCAGACGCCUAAGGGAGGCAGCAGGGGGGAAUAUUGCACAAUGGGCGGAAGUGUGAUGCAGAAACGCCGCGUGCGGAAUGACGGCUUUCGGGUUGUAAACCGAUUUCGCCUGUGCCGAAGAGUGAGUGACGGUAAUGGGUAAAGAAGCACCGGCUAACUACGUG
rnacentral:rRNA from 1 species